rnacentral:misc_RNA from 1 species
UAAAGUCGUAACAAGGUCUCCGUUGGUGAACCAGCGGAGGGAUCAUUAUGAACUAAAAAACCACGAGUCUCGGCUCGCAACCCCUGUGGACUUACCUAUUGUCUGUUGUUGCCUCUGGCAGGCGGCGUGCGCGCGCUCCUUCGGGGGCGGGCGGGCGUCCCUGCCGGCGGCGGCCCCCUUCUAAAACACAAACAAACCAAAACAUUGCAAGUCUGAGUCGGAUUCUAAAUCCAAGCAAAACUUUCAACAACGGAUCUCUUGGCUCUGGCAUCGAUGAAGAACGCAGCGAAAUGCGAUAAGUAAUGCGAAUUGCAGAAUUCCGCGAGUCAUCGAAUCUUUGAACGCACAUUGCGCCUGCCAGUAUUCUGGCAGGCAUGCCUGUCCGAGCGUCAUUACACCCCUCAGCGCGCUUCCGCGCUGGUGUUGGGGACCUCCCGCGCCCUCACGGGCGGGGAGCCCCCUAAAGACAGUGGCGGGCCUUCUGGGAUUGGCUCCGAGCGCAGUAGAAACACCACGUUUAUGCGACCGCUCGGGACCCCCGGCGAGGCCCUGCCGUCAAAACGCAGAGGCCUAAACCCCCU